rnacentral:rRNA from 1 species
AUACGUAGGGGGCAAGCGUUAUCCGGAUUUACUGGGUGUAAAGGGAGCGUAGACGGAAGGCCAAGUCUGAUGUGAAAGCCCGCGGCUCAACUGCGGGACUGCAUUGGAAACUGGUCAUCUGGAGUGCAGGAGGGGGAAGCGGAAUUCCUAGUGUAGCGGUGAAAUGCGUAGAUAUUAGGAGGAACACCGGUGGCGAAGGCGGCUUACUGGACUGUAACUGACGUUGAGGCUCGAAAGCGUGGGGAGCAAACAGGAUUAGAUACCCUGGUAGUCCACGCCGUAAACGAUGAGCACUAGGUGUCGGGGGAGCAAUUUCUCGGUGCCGCAGUUAACGCAUUAAGUGCUCCGCCUGGGGAGUACGUACGCAAGUAUGAAACUCAAAUGAAUUGGCGGGG